AUGCACAAGGAUUCCAUACUCUGCAACCUCCGCAUUCCCCUCAUUUCAGACUUGAUCAACAGAUACUGACACGCUUCGACGUGAUGUCAUUUACAACUGGCUGGAGGAAGCAGAGUGUGGCCAUCCUGAGGAUAUUGAUGGCAAGGUUCUGGUCAUGCUUGAGUUUGAAAACAAGAUGCCUAUGUAAGACUGAAAUGAAGAGGAAGUAAUUAUAUGGAAGUGAGGUGAGUAUUUUAACUUUAUACGUGAUGGAAGCUGUGGAGUGUAGCGGGGACUCACAAGAGUCCAACCAAAAACCAAGCGGAACACAAGUUGUGUGCACGAGAUGUAUUUUAUUCUGUACAGUACAGCUCCCUACUCCUCACUGGUCAUGGCCUUAAAUACCCACUCAGGUAAAACCCCAUAGCUAGCACCUCCCUCACCGAGGCCUCCCUCCAGAGCUGAGGGUUCGUUGUGCCCAUGGUUUGCCACCAGGUGCCGCCACAGGAGGCUGAAUCUUUGAACAUAUUCAAACCAGAGACAGAUAAUUGUUAAAUCAGGAAGGGAAUCAAGGACUGGAAAGUAAGUGAGGAAUGAUGAACGUCCAGGAUCUUAUUGGAUGGUGGAUCAAACUUGAGGAGCCAGAUGUCUUCGUAUGUUCCUACAGCUCAGGGUCUUAUUUCUGCCCAGCUGAUGACCAGGGCUGAAUCCUCACUGCAGCAAUGUUAUACAGCGUGCAACACAUAACGAAGUCUAGGAACACAGUUAGUAUAAGCGAGUUCGGUAUUUCGAAAAAACACAAGGGAUUUGUCAAAGGUCACAAGCAACAAAAAUCUCGGUAAUCACUGCCGAACCGCCA